CACUUAAAAGCCAGUUAUGAUCGAUCAAAGAAAAAUCUUGUUAUAUAAGUUUUACUAAGAAACGCUUUGUAAUGUGUAAUUCUCUUCUCAUCAUAAACACACGAUUAGGCUUAAUCUAAAAGUCCUUAAAGACGACGCUUUUUUAUUCCCCUAUGAACAAAUGAAGGUCAGAUUCAUAGCAUGUAAGAGCUAACGUUAGAGAUAAUACACAGAUAAAGAAGACAGAGAAUUUAACAUUUUGUAAACAUGGCUAUAUUUGAAGAACCUUUUAGAAAACUAGAAUAUGCGGGCAGAUUCAUUAUUGGGGAAUUUCCUUCUCUCCUCCCUACUUGUGGGCGGAUGUUUUAGAAACACGUCACACGUCAAUCAUUAAGUAUAAAACCCACCCUUUCAGCAUCUUAGAGCACAGACUCCCAGUUCAACAGAAGACUUAUCCUUAGGAGGAAAAGCAACUGAUAAAAUGAAUUACAUUUGGAUCUUGUGUCUUGGGAUGCUGAUCAUGACUCUACCAUUUUCAGCUUCACAGGAAAAGAGCAAUGAUAGCAAUAGAUCAGAAACCUCAUCAUCAUCUGCUUCUACGAAUUCCAGUGCUGUGGGAUUGGCUCAUGGGUCUGUUGCCCUGUGUCUGCUGAUCCCAACGGCCACCCUGGGCUUUCUCUACAAUACACCUUAAUCUGGAUGGAAAAGUCUGCAAAAUACACGGUGAAGACUGAAACAGUGGCAGAGAUGACAAUUCUUUCAAACAUAAGAUACAACAUGGAGGAUUGGACACUUGUAAUGAAAUUAAAAUAAUGAAAACCAAAGGUCCUUCAAACCGCAUUCCCACCAAAACCACUGCACUGAACUUUUGUUGUGGUUUUGUUGGGCUCCUCUACUCAAUAGCAAUUCUUUUGAAAGUUUCUUUUUGAAAGUCUGUUUCUUAGAAGCCCGAACUUAAAUCUGUUAUCACCGCAUUCAUCAAAAAUGUGUUUCUUUUUUAAAGUCGGUCUGAGAAUUUAUUAAUUAUUAUAUAUAUUAUAUUUGUAUUAUAUAUAUAUUAAUUUGGUUUCUGUCAUUAUGCUAUCUGUACAUUAAACGUUACUGUGUGAACCUAA